rnacentral:ribozyme from 1 species
AAAGUAGGAACAGAAAAGAAAAGAAAGAAAAAAAAACAGCCUUCCCUUUUUGUUUCUUGCUUGCCUGUUCUCACUGGUGCUAUGAUGCUAGUUGUUUUGAACAACUACUAAUUUUUGGGAAU